rnacentral:tRNA from 2 species
GUGGGUGUAGCUCAGUGACAGAGCACUUGCCUAGCAUGUGCAAGGCCCUAGGUUUGAUUCCCAGCACCACA